AACAGUGUGCUUGAUAAAAAGAUCGUCUUGAUAGGACGGAAAAUGAGAAGUUCAGGUUUCCCCGCUGUUA
rnacentral:tRNA from 1 species